UACGAAGGGGGCUAGCGUUGUUCGGAUUUACUGGGCGUAAAGCGCACGUAGGCGGAUUGUUAAGUCGGGGGGUGAAAUCCUGGAGCUCAACUCCAGAAUUGCCUUCGAUACUGGCUUUCUAGAGGCUGGAAGAGGUUAGUGGAAUUCCCGGUGUAGAGGUGAAAUUCGUAGAUAUCGGGAGGAACACCAGUGGCGAAGGCGGCGACCUGGGCCAAUACUGACGCUGAGGUGCGAAAGCGUGGGGAGCAAACAGG
rnacentral:rRNA from 1 species